AUUCCAGCUCCAGUAGCGUAUAUUAUUACUGUUGUAGUUAAAAAGCUCGUAGUUGAAUAACUGGCGUUGGGAAGCCCUGCCCGCCGCGAUUCGCGUGUGAGUUGUGGGGCGUCCCCGCCAUCCUGUGUGGGAGCCCGCCUACCCUUCAUUGGGCCGGGCGGUGCGAGCACACUCAGUUACUUUGAGAAAAUCUGCGCGUUCAAAGCAGGCACACGCUAUGAAAGCUUCAGCAUGGAAUAACAAGAUAGGACCUGGGUCUCUAUUUUGUUGGUUUCUAGGAUCGAGGUGAUGAUUGAUAGGGACAGUUGGGGGUGCUUGUAUUUAACGGCCAGAGGUGAAAUUCUUGGAUUCGUUAAAGACAAACUACUGCGAAAGCAUUCACCAAGGAUGUCUUCAUUG
rnacentral:rRNA from 1 species